rnacentral:rRNA from 1 species
UUCCGUAGGUGAACCUGCGGAAGGAUCAUUAAUGAAUUGCUAGGAGGUUGUUGCUGGCUCCUAUGGGGCAUGUGCACACCUUUUACCUUUCUUUCCACCUGUGCACCCUUUGUAGGCAGAGCCUAUGAUCUUACACACUCAUUAACAUAUAUAUGAUGGUGGCUCUUAAUAUACAUACAACUUUCAACAAUGGAUCUCUUGGUUCUCGCAUCGAUGAAGAACGCAGCGAAAUGCGAUAAGUAAUGUGAAUUGCAGAUCUCAGUGAAUCAUCGAAUCUUUGAACGCACCUUGCGCCCUUUGGUAUUCCAAAGGGCAUGCCUGUUUGAGUGUCAUUAAAUUCUCAAAGCUCUGCUUUGGAUUUGAAGACUGCUGGCUUACUCCAGAGUCAGCUUCUUUGAAAUGCAUUAGUAGGAUCAUCAUGCUGGAUCGAUACAGGUGUGAUAAGAUAUCACCAUCUGAGAUUAGGCAAGAAUUCCUGCUCAUAAUUACUUUUGAUAUUUGACCUUUGACCUCAAAUCAGGUAAGACUACCCGCUGAACUUAAGCAUAUCAAUA